CUAAAGGAAAGCACUGGAGAGGCAUAACCCUAUGGAAACGGGGUACGUCUCAAUAGUUUGUGACUUCCUCUCUAGCGUUUUGCUUUUCCUUAUCGGUUGAAGUAAGGUCAUUUGGAUAUUAUUUUGUUUGGCAUUAUUUAAACAUAUGUUGUUGUUUUUUAAAAUACCAGCACACCAUUCAUAUAGAUGCUUAGGCAAAACGUUAUUAUAAAUGUUAGGUAGCAAUUUUUGGGCCUCAUCAACACACACACACACACACACACAUCUAUGACGUCAUGUACAACAUACAUGACAUUUUAAUAUGUCCAGGAGGAGUUUGUCCUACUGUCCAUCAUAAUCGAUUACAUCAGACAACGGAAAGUCACAUGAGCAAUUCAACACAAAUAUGGAUGAAGAAAAGGGUUUCUCACAAACUCAUAAGCAGAAACUGAGACACACAUACACCCAAGGACAGAGGGCUGGCACAGACCUUUCAUAAACACUGAUAAGAAAAGGGUGCUUGGGUCUGCAUUUCAAGCAGAAACUGAGACACACACAUACCCAAGGACAGAGGGCUGAAAUAAACCUUUCAUAAACACUGAUUAAAUGGGAACAUCUACGCACACACCAAAUGUCCUGCUUAGCUGAACAUUUGGUAACAAAGAACUUUUGCUGCAAGACUCAGAAGGAUGACACCCAGCUCAUCAGGACCAAUCUGAGAAGACAACAACCUGUCCAGAACCAACCAAAGGACCAGAACUUCCAGACUCAACCUACUUUCUGUGCUGUAUAAAAUGUGAAUGCAUUCUGUUAUCUGGGCUUUUUCUGGAGGUUCAUUAUGAGCUGAAUGAACGAGUCCGUAUACGCUUGUACCAGAUAUCUUUACUCUUAAAUUAAACUGUCGCUUGUCAUACAAUUUA